GGAUUGACAGAUUGAGAGGUCUUUCUUGAUUCUUAGGGGGGUGGUGCAUGGCCGUUCUUAGUUGGGGGAGGGAUUUGUCUGGUUAAUUCCGUUAACGAACGAGACCUUAACCUACUACAUAGGAUAGUUGAUCUUUAAUCGGGAUUACUUCUUAGAGGGACUAUGUGUAUUGCAACACAUGGAAGUUUGAGGCAAUAACGGGUCUGUGAUGCACA
rnacentral:rRNA from 1 species